AGAGUUUGAUCAUGGCUCAGAACGAACGCUGGCGGCGUGGAUAAGACAUGCAAGUCGAACGAUCACUAUUGGGUAGCAAUAUUCGGUAGUGGGAGUGGCGCAAGGGUGCGUAACACGUGGGCAAUUUGCCGUGAAGCCUGGAAUAACUCGCUGAAAGGCGAGCUAAUGCCGGAUGUGAUUGUUGGAGGGCAUCCUCUGACAAUUAAAGUUGGGGACCGUAAGGCCUGACACUUCUCGAUAAGCCCGCGGCCUAUCAGCUAGUUGGUGAGGUAACGGCUCACCAAGGCUAAGACGGGUAGCUGGUCUGAGAGGACGACCAGCCACACUGGAACUGAGACACGGUCCAGACACCUACGGGUGGCAGCAGUCGAGAAUUUUUCUCAAUGGGGGAAACCCUGAAGGAGCGACGCCGCGUGGGGGAUGAAUGGCUUCGGCCCGUAAACCCCUGUCAUCUGGGAACAAUGCUUCCGACCUAAUACGUCGGGAGUUGAUAGUACCGGAAGAGGAAGGGACGGCUAACUCUGUGCCAGCAGCCGCGGUAACACAGAGGUCCCAAGCGUUGUUCGGAUUCACUGGGCGUAAAGGGUGCGUAGGCGGUCGGUUAAGUCUGAUGUGAAAUCUCCAAGCUCAACUUGGAAAUGGCAUCGGAAACUAUCCGGCUCGAGGAAUGGAGGGGAGACUGGAAUUCUCGGUGUAGCAGUGAAAUGCGUAGAUAUCGAGANNAACACCAGUG
rnacentral:rRNA from 1 species